AAUCCAUGGUGGGGGUAGCUUCUCAAUAAAUCUUGUAUCUCUCACAUGCAUCAUAUAGUGUUUCUAAGUCCAUUUGUACAAAAGAAGAGAUAUCAUUCCUUAACUU
rnacentral:snoRNA from 1 species